AAAAAUAGAAAUCAAGAUUGGUAUAAAUUUAGUGCUCUAGAAAAAAAAUGAGGCUGUAGAGAACACUCACAGCCACUACCAAUCACACCCUAUAACUCUUAGCUCCACCAAAUUUUUGUAUUGAAACCAUUUCAGUUUUUGGUAAAUAAAAUUCACAUUUUAUCUAAAAGAAUAUGAUUGAACAAAGUAACUAUUUGUAAAAAAAAAAAAAAAAGAACAACAAAGUAACGUAUCUUCCAUAAUAUUUAAACCAAGAAUUCUUGAUUUCUAGUAUACCAAAAUAAUUGUACGAUAACUGUCGAUAAACAUCAUAUAUAUCGAAUGUAAUGGUUUUCUUACUGAUCCUUUUUGGUUGUGUAAGUUUUGAGAGAAGAUUAAAAACGUAACUAAACUACUAAUAUGAUAGCAUAAUCAUAGCAGAAAAAAACUUUAUAUUUUAUGAUAAAACAGCUAAAAGAACUCGUGGUGUGACUCCUGGGUGGUUGUAACUGUCAAACCCCCCUAAUCAUAGGGAUAGAGGGGGCCGGGGGUAAACAAAUCAAACUUGCACAACGC
rnacentral:lncRNA from 1 species